AUUGCCUCUUUGCUCAGAAGACCUCCUUGCGUUGGUGAGAACGUAGGGCUUGAGCAGACAGCUGCGUUGCUUAAAUUUGAUUCAUAUCACAGCAUAUAUUGCACUGUCUUGAUUCCAAACCCUAAACCAGGUGGGUGACUCCUUUGAUGAGCUCUCAGCUGCCUCAGCUGAGAAAAAUAAUCGUGGAAAAAUAUAUUUACAGUGUGGCUGGUCUAGAAGCUUCUAAUUUCGUCCCUUAGGUAUCAUUAGAGGGUAGCAAGAACAGCGUCUCCUGUUUGGUUUUUUUUUUUUUUUCCUCGCCGACACUGACGUCUGAUUUUGCACUACCGACGAGAAAAAUCCUCGUCGUGGCAGAUCUAUUGGCUCAGCGUUUGCGGGCUUGUAGUUUCAUACUUGAGGUCCUGCCAGGACAGGGGCUUCUGUUGUAACGGAGCUAACAAAGUCUAUUUGCUGGAGACGGUCAGAGCUCCGAUCUCAGAGAUGCUGACGCGGAAAGGAAUUCUAAAUGAGCAUUUCUGUCCCCCGAGGCUGUGUUACUCCAAAGCAUGAUGGCAGUGCCCCGGUGACGGCCUUCACGGCCCCUGGAGAUGGGGGCUUAGAACCCCCCACUCCUGCCGCCCUCCCGGUCACCGUUCACAUUUGACCAGACCAGCCGAAGAUUUUGCAGUUCACGAGGAAAGUGAGUUCAGUGGCUUCGGGGAGGCAUUUUGAGCUCUCUUUCCCCGAAGCCUUCAUGAGUGAACGGGUAGCCCGUACCUGCUCGUUGGUCGGCGGGCUCCGUGCCCCUGCACGCCUGCCAGGAAAGGUCUUGUGUUUUGAUCGAGCCCCUGCCUGAGCCGGAGCUGCAAAGAGCGGCUGGAGAUCGCCCGCGACCCACGCGGGGCUGAGUGGGCGAAGCACACACUCAGCGUCUAGUUGUGCAAGUGCGUUUCCAGUGGGGUCUUCUGUUCCCUUUAAGUUCCUCCCCAAGGUUGCAAGGGCGGGCUUCUCAAAAUCUUCACCCUUGACCCAGCCAGGAGGCCUCCUGCUCACCAUGAAAGGUUCUGUCUUUUUGGAUGAUUUUUUUUUUUUCCUUUUUAAAUUCUCCACAAGCAAAUGCCACCUUGGCGGAGCUGUCGAGUUGAGUGAAUAAUGCUGGCACAGAGGACCCAAGUCCACACGAUGCCUAGAGCAGCAGAUCUGCUCCCCGGAGACUGUCUGUCCUCCAGGGUGUUGUGAAUCCCCCGCCCUGUGCCUGGGUGCUGGGCAUCCGCCAGGGAACAGGGUCAGAGGCCUUGCUUGCGAGCCUCAGCUCUGCGUAUCUGUGCCCGUGGGCCCCACCCAGCAGGGAAGGGACACCAGGAUGACCAGCCUCAGGGAAACGGGUUCAGGUGGCCUGUCCUGCCCCCGCUAGGCCAAGCUCAGAAGGGUCCAGAAAUCUGGAACCUUCCAGAACCAUUUCCAAGGCUCCCUUUGGUUCGGUAUCUGGCCCGGCGGCGAGUGAAUUCAGCACACUCUGCUCUCGUUUGUGUUGCAGGAAGAGUCGGGCUGUGGAAGGACAUCUUCACUGUCUCCAUGAACGAGAAGUUUGACUUGGUGUACAAACAGAAGAUGGGGAAGUGUGACCUGACGUUUGACUUUUAUUUAUAAUCACGGCGACGGCAAACUUGCAUGCUCACAGCACCCAGACACUCUACUAGCUAAAAGUCCCGUAUGCACUCAUUUGUUCCUUGCUGGACGAACUCCGGAAGCAGCGUGAGGCCCGGGGGAGGGAGGGAACGGCGGAGACGCCGGAGGAAGAGGGGGCCCUGCUUCCCCUCCGGAGCAGCCGUGUCGCCUUUGGGCUUUGAAGUCUCUCCGUGUCCGACCACAAGCGUUGUAAAGCUGGCGGUUCUGACGGCCUGUAUCAUAAGUAUAGAGUCUGUAACAUACGCAGCUAGAACGUCUGCCUUUUACAACCCCACAUUAUUUAUUGUAUUUUAUAGAGCUUUUCACUUGGAAAUCUAAAUAAAUGUCAGUAAACCAAAUAGAAGUUCAUUUCCGAGGGGACUCAGGAGCGAGCCACACCCAAAUGGUAGGAAGAUCUCAGGGUUGACUCUUUAUUUUUGUAGUUCUGUUCUGUAUGGCACAGCCAUUCUGUUCUCACCCGGUUCGGAGGUGAAGACACAGGAGGAGUUGGGUGUGUGGGGGCCGCUGUUCCUUUGGAUGAGUUCAGUGCUCUGUAACCUUCCUGAAACAAAGCAGAGACCGUCCGCUCGGCAUCUGCAGGGAGGAUGGCCCUCUGCCAGGGACUCCC
rnacentral:lncRNA from 1 species